CCCAGUUUUGCACAUGCUAGAAGUUCAGAUACUUCAGAGAAGCUGCUGAACUGAACUACUGAACCUUUUGAGGUUGGCCAAUCAUUAACUGGGACACAGAUCAACUAAGAGGUUCAGAACUAAGGCUGACAUUCUAUCUUUAACUCGGGCUCUUGUUCCAGGUUCCAAAGGUGCCUCGAAUUAGAUAUCAUUUCCAUUUAUCUCUGGGCAUUAUAGAUGCAGCAUUACAUGCUUGUGCAAAAUUGAAGGCAAUGGAAUUACUCCACUCUAACAGUAGCAUAAAUGAGAUCAGAACCUGUUCCAGCGACCCCACAAAGUGCCUACCACAAUGGGGUCCUGAUCCAUGACUGGGGCUGUAAGGACUACUGCAAUAAAAUAAAUAAAUAAGCAAUAACAACAAGCUGCAUACCACCUGCAAGACAGAGGUACGUUGCCUAGUCAAGAUGCCACUACCAGGGUUAGGAAAGUGAGAACUUUAAAAUAUGAUGAUGAUCAUAGAUAGAGAGAUCUGAAAGAAAGCAAAGAGGGUUGGUAUCUGAUCCUAAAUAUGUCUCUUCAAAGAGCCAGAAGGUGUAGAGCACAGCACAAGACAUACAGAUUAAGGGAAAGAGACACCCCUCAAAAGUUGAGUGAAUUUCAAUCACUAUUAUUUUUCAACUAACAUCACUUUCCCUGCUUAGACACUGCACUUGAUUCUUCACUGCUUUGCACAUUGGUUAGUCAUUUACACCUCCAAAAUCAAUGCAAAAUAGUUGAAAUACUGAUUUGGGAGCAUUUCACACCCAUUUAGUUAACACAACACAAAGUUAGCAAUAUGGCAGAUUAUAUUUUUCCAGAAAAUACAUUUGUCAUGCCAUUUGCACCAUCUGCUGUAUGUGUCAGUAGGAAGGAAGAUGGCUGCUGUUGAACGGUGUGGUAUUUAGAAACAGUCCCUGUAAGAAACUGGAUGAAAACAAAAGAACCUGGGCAUCAAAGCAGCCAAAGGCACUGGUGAGAAAAAGCAAAAGGGGCAACUAAUACCAUUUCUAUGACUUGGCAGAUCAUUGGUGAACCCUCCAGUAAUACUCCUUUCUCACCUGCAGCUCCUGUCCUGGAAGUUCAAGCAAGAUUAUGAAACAUCAACGAGCAGCACCACAAUCUUCAGCUGCAUGAGUAGCUAGUCCAAGACCAGCAACUCUGUAUGGAAAUGCAGCCAUGGCAAAUAAGUGCACAUGAUUCAUUCAUCUGCACAGGCUAGAAAGAGCAACUUUGGCAAGCUGAUAGAGUAUGCAAAUCUGAUGUCAUAAAACUGAUGGCAGCAGCCAGUCAUUCAAUACUUUCAUUCCUGUAUUACUUCUUGCUCAUACUUUGUAGUGUGUUUUGAAAAUUAAAAGCACUGUGUGUAAGUGCUAAGUAUUAUUAGUAUCUUCACUGCUGUUUAGUAACAUUGU